GACCCGUCUUGAAACACGGACCAAGGAGUCUAACAUAUGCGCGAGCCAAUGGGUGGUAAACCCAAAGGCGCAAUAAAAGUAAAAGCUGUUUCGGACAGCCUAGGUACGAUCCUAUCGUAAUUGGUAGGCGCAGUACCGUCCCGUCCCGACCGCAUAUCGGUAGGGCGGAGAUAGAGUGCAUACGUUGGGACCCGAAAGAUGGUGAACUAUGCCUGAGCAGAGCGAAGCCAGAGGAAACUCUGGUGGAGGUUCGUAGCGGUUCUGACGUGCAAAUCGAUCGUCAGACUUGGGUAUAGGGGCGAAAGACUAAUCGAACCAUCUAGUAGCUGGUUCCCCCUGAAGUUUCCCUCAGGAUAGCUGAUACUCGUCAAUGAACGAAGUUUUAUCCGGUAAAGCGAAUGAUUAGAGGCCUUGGGGACGAAAUGACCUCAACCUAUUCUCAAACUUUAAAUGGGUAAGAAGUCGAGCUUGCUCGAUCGAAGCCCGACACAAGAAUUCGAGUAUCAAGUGGGCCAUUUUUGGUAAGCAGAACUGGCGCUGCGGGAUGAACCGAACGGCGAGGUAAGGCGCCCGAAUAAACGCUCAUCAGAGCCCACAAAAGGUGUUAGUUGAUAUAGACAGCAGGACGGUGGCCAUGGAAGUUGGAACCCGCUAAGGAGUGUGU
rnacentral:rRNA from 1 species